rnacentral:tRNA from 1 species
UUCGCUGUUGGCCGGGAAGGUGAGUUUUUCCACGCCUUCGGACAGGGUUUCCCGGGCCAGCGGUUGCAGUUCGUUCAGCGGGA